rnacentral:rRNA from 2 species
UGGGGAAUAUUGCACAAUGGAGGGAACUCUGAUGCAGCGACGCCGCGUGAACGAAGAAGGCUUUCGAGUCGUAAAGUUCUUUUAUAUGAGAAGAUAAUGACGGUACCAUAAGAAAAAGCCCCGGCUAACUACGUGCCAGCAGCCGCGGUAAUACGUAGGGGGCUAGCGUUGUCCGGAAUCACUGGGCGUAAAGGGUUCGCAGGCGGAAAUGCAAGUCAGGUGUAAAAGGCAGUAGCUUAACUACUGUAAGCAUUUGAAACUGCAUAUCUUGAGAAGAGUAGAGGUAAGUGGAAUUUUUAGUGUAGCGGUGAAAUGCGUAGAUAUUAAAAAGAAUACCGGUGGCGAAGGCGACUUACUGGGCUCAUUCUGACGCUGAGGAACGAAAGCGUGGGUAGCAAACAGG